UCAGACUAAUUUUAUUUUUUUUUUUUAGUGUUUGCCCAUUACCUCCUGUCCUGUCACUGGAUACCUCUGGUUCCAUCUUCUUCACUGACCCUCCCUAUCAAAUGUUUAUACAAAUUGAUAAGAUCUCCCUUGAUGCUUCUCUUCUGCAGGCUGAGCAGUCCCAGAUCUCUCAGCCUUGCCGCAUAUGAGAGUUGCUCCAGUAUCUUAAUUAUUCUCACUGGACUUGCUUCAGUAAGUAUCUUGUACUGGGAAGCCCACAACUGGAGACAGGACUCCUGAGGUGGCAUCACCAAUGCUGACCCACUGUUAGUCACAGCUCGAAAAAGAACCAUGUGAUACAGCAUCUUUGGGUGAAGUUAGAGACGUUUCCUAACAAAUCAUGAGCUUACAGAAUUUUUCUAGUGUUUUGGAGCAUUAUAUGGUUGAGGCUGGUGCUGUCUCCUUCAAAGGGAAAAGUCCAAAACAACUUGAGAAGGGAUGAGGAGUUUCUGGAACAUCCAUGGUUACCCCUGACCCACAGAAAAGGGGGAAAGCAUUUGUACAGCUGAGGUGAGAAAUUCAGCGAGUGAACUGAGACCUCCUUCUUCCUGUCCCACAGACUGUGAUAUUUGACAAGGCUCUGCUGUAGUUUACUUACUUGGAGAAAGCAUCUGCAUUGCCUACAUAUCCCUAGGCAGGACAAAAGUGCGCAGGAGGGAGGUACAGUGCUUGAGGCUGUAUGAAGGUCCAGAUAGCAACAAGGUGUCAAGUCUAUGGACGUACUAUUCAUCCCACCACCAGCAACAAUCAUUCACCUCUCAGAUAAUAGACUACUGGAUGGAAAAGACAAAAAUUUUUAAAAAGUGACUGAGUUCAGAAAACUCAAGGAGAAGCAUUUGGGGAAGGAGAGAGAAGCACUCAUCCAAUGGUUCUCAAACUUUUCUGUGAGAAAUCAACAUAUUGAAGGACAUUAGAAUGGUGUCCUGCAAAUGCACCUUGAGCAUCUAAACUGGAAUCCCCUUCUGAGGGGUAUUUUUUGGCUGUUCACAGAUUAAGCACCUUACUCUUCAUACUACUCUUGCAAUAGUAAAAUAUUUUGAGCAGUGCAACAAAACAUACAUACCCUCUUUAUUCUAAAACUGUCUUCCGCUAGCCUGCUAAAACCAAGUUUAAGACCGUUCAUUUAUGAAAACAGAGACCUUUUUUCAAAAUGUGCUAAUUCGCAACAGCCUAUUAAGUUGCACCACAGGCUCCGUUGUGUGCUUAGACACAAAUUGCUGAAAGAAAAUGGUUUAGUGCAUUUAAUUUCCAUGUAUUCAGUCACAAUAUAUUUACAAUUGUGAGAUAAAUGUAAAUAAGUUUCUCCCUUUUAUAUAAGUAAAGUAAGCACUUUGUGGUAUAUUUCCUU